GAAGCUGGUUUGGAGAAUUAAGUUUCCUUUCACGUCUGGAGAUCCAUAAUCUGUUAGAGAAAGUCGACUUGGAUGAAAAUUCUCCUCUGGUCUUUUGAUCUUGGUAGCUACCACGCCUUGCACAAAACAAAUGAAUAAAUUAGUGAAUGAGUGAAUAGAUGAAGUAAUGAACUGAGACAGAGUUUUGCUACAUUGCUCAGGCUGAUCUCUCCUCUUGGGCUCAAGUGAUCUGCCAGCCUUGGCCUCCUGAAGUGCUGGGAUUAUAGGCAUGAGCCACCAUGCCCGGCCCAAUAUCAACAUUCUGAACAUCAGCCUUUGUACUGAGUGAUAAUACAGCAACGCUGUCAAGGCCCACUGGGAGAACAAAGAGAGGUGGAUCCCAGGAGGCAGCCAGGGGAUGCAAGGAGCCAACAUGCCAUCAGAGAGGGGUGAAGAGAUAAGGUCCCAAGGAAAGCUAUUGGAAAGCUUUCUACCAAAAGGGAGAUCAAGGACCACAGAGCACAUCCUGAAAGACAAGUCUUUGUUCCAAAGGAAGGAAUGGUUCCACCAGGAGACACAACAAUGAUUAUACUGAACUGCAAGUUAAGACUGCCACCUGAUGCCUCUGAAUCUACUGGCAAGCAAGGAAGUUACUGUGCUGGGUGGGUUGAUUGAUCCAGACUACAAGGGGAAAUUGGACAGCUGCUCCACAAUAGAGUCAUCCUCAGUGAGUGCCUUAUCAAGCUUAUUACUUCAUGGUGACAAGAGGGCUGCACUUGAUCCAACAUCAAUUUUGGAUUCCAGUAAGCAAGAAGAAGAAGACAAAUGAGAAAAAGAUAUAAGCCAGCAAACCUUCCAAGAGCAAAGGGGACACUUUCCCUUCACCCCUGCAGAAGACGUCUCCGAGGAAGUGAAACAUUGGUGGAUAUAUGAUAGAAAUCAUCAUGGUAAAGAAAGUAUUACAGUAAGACUGAAAACCAACCAUUUUGCCCAAGGGACAGACCCUCAGCUGUGACUCUGCACCUGAUCUCUGUGGCUUUGCUGAAAUGUAGCUUUAACCCUGGAGUACCCUAAAGGUGAGCACCAGCGCGAUGGAGAGGUGAGAGCACAGACUUUGGCUGUUGGCCUCAGUUUCUUCCUCUGCAGUUUGGUGUGAAGCUCAGAGAUGGUGCAUGGAGCCCCCAGAGAUAGUAGCUGGCACCUGGAGACCCAUGCCCUGCUUGGGCCACACCUCUGCUGGUGCAGGGAAACCUGGGCAACCCGAGGUGGACAGACCAGUUCUACUGGAAGCUGGUCCCCAUCACCUGUACUUUUCCCACAAAAGACUCCCUUCCUUAUCCCCUUCCUCACUCACCCACAAAAGAACCCUUUCCUUAUCCAUGACCUGUACUUUACCCACAAGAAACCCCCUUCCUUACCCACUCCCUUCCUUACUCAAUCUGGCAGGGCUCAGAUUGCAAUAAAGAAGGGUCAGUAAUCCACAAAUCCAAAUAUUCAGUUUCCUGGCAGACGUAGAAUCAUUCAUAUUCUUGAAUCAAAAGGAUCUGUUCACGAUUAGAAAAAAAAAUUCAUCUAACUGCGUUUUUCAUUAAUAGAAACUGCAUAUAGAAAUCCUCUAGAACAACAUCAUACACCAUGGAGUUGACAAUUCAUCAUGCUCUAUUCUAGGCUCGGCUUCAGCAUAUUUGAAAUCAGCUAGGAGGCUUCUGUUGAUACAAAAUACAGUAUUUGUAGACUGAUCUAGUCCUGCAGCAGGUGGUAAAGAAGUAUGAACUGAAACUGCCAUAUGGCGGUGUGAAGGAAAUGUUUCUCUCCAGAGAAAUACUUGAAAGUGUCAUAAAAACAGUAAAAACAUUUAACAGCUCAAAAGGCUUAAAUUCAGUAUGUACAGAAACUGUGUCAACUUUGGAGUCAGGCUGCUUUCAUUAAAAUCUCAGCAGAUAGAUGAUAACUUUCACUCGCGUCCAUGUGAAGAGACCACUAAACAGGCUUUGUGUGAGCAAUAAAGCUUUUAAUCACCUGGGU
rnacentral:lncRNA from 1 species